GGUGAUUGUGGAGACCAAUUUAUGUAAUCUAAAGAAAAAAUGUUUGGCACAGGCAGUCUGCUGAUGGUCUGUGGCAAGAAGUACGAAAGAUUCACCCAAAUCCACCUUCCGUUCUGGGCACACAGCUGGACCACAUUUCCCUGCCUCCCUUGUAGUUAGAAGGAGGUGACUCCCAGAGCAACCCUGGAAAUGUGUUGAAGAUGGCAGUGCCUCCAUCAGCUUGGGCUGCCUGAAGGACCGUUCUGUCCACCUGUUCACUUGCUCAGUAUGUUUUGUGAGCAAGAAAUAAACUUGUA